rnacentral:rRNA from 1 species
UACGGAGGGUGCAAGCGUUAUCCGGAUUUACUGGGUUUAAAGGGUGCGUAGGCGGACAGGUAAGUCCGUGGUGAAAUCUCUGAGCUUAACUCAGAAGCUGCCAUGGAUACUAUUUGUCUUGAAUACUGUGGAGGUAAGCGGAAUAUGUCAUGUAGCGGUGAAAUGCUUAGAUAUCGGGAGGAACACCAAUGGCGAAGGCAGCUCGCUGGGACGGUACUGACGCUGAGACGCGUAAGCGUGGGGAGCAAACAGG